UAAAGAUAAGGAAUUCGGCAAAUAUAAUUGUUCGCCUGUUUAUCAAAAACAUGGUUUUUUGUUUAUAAUUUAAAAUUUAAUCUGCCCACUGAUUAAUUAAAGGGCCGCAGUAUAUUGACUGUGCAAAGGUAGCAUAAUCAUUUGUUUCUUAAUUGUUGACUUGUAUGAAUGAUUGGACGAGAUAAUUACUGUCUCAUUUUUAUUUAAAAUAAAAUUUUAUUUUUAAGUUAAAAAGCUUAAAUAAAAUUUAAGGACGAGAAGACCCUAUAGAGUUUAAUUAAUUUAGUAAAAAUUUUUAUUACUGAAUUUAAAUUAUUUUUAUGAUAAUUAAUUUAAUUGGGGUGAUUAAAAAAUUUAAUAAACUUUUUAAAUAUUUAUUCAAAAAAUUUUGUUUAAUUUUGAUCCAAAUUUUUUGAUUAGUUGAUUAAAUUACCUUAGGGAUAACAGCGUUAUUAUUUUGGAAAGUUCAUAUUUAUAAAAUAGUUUGCGACCUCGAUGUUGAAUUAAGAUAAAUUUUUGGUGCAGUAAUUAAAAUUUUUAGUCUGUUCGACUAUUAAAUUCUUACAUGAUUUGAGUUCAAACCGGUGUGAGCCAGGUUGGUUUCUAUCCUAAAUUAUAUAAAAUAUUUUAGUACGAAAGGACCAUAUAUU
rnacentral:rRNA from 1 species